AUUGAACGCUGGCGGCAUGCUUUACACAUGCAAGUCGAACGGUAACAGGCCUUCGGGUGCUGACGAGUGGCGAACGGGUGAGUAAUGCAUCGGAACGUGCCCAGAGGUGGGGGAUAACGCAGCGAAAGCUGUGCUAAUACCGCAUGUGAUCUGAGGAUGAAAGCGGGGGACCAAGCAGCAAUGUUUGGCCUCGCGCCUCUGGAGCGGCCGAUGUCAGAUUAGGUAGUUGGUGGGGUAAAGGCCUACCAAGCCGACGAUCUGUAGCUGGUCUGAGAGGACGACCAGCCACACUGGGACUGAGACACGGCCCAGACUCCUACGGGAGGCAGCAGUGGGGAAUUUUGGACAAUGGGCGCAAGCCUGAUCCAGCAAUGCCGCGUGCGGGAAGAAGGCCUUCGGGUUGUAAACCGCUUUUGUACGGAACGAAAAGGCUCUGGUUAAUACCUGGGGCUGAUGACGGUACCGUAAGAAUAAGCACCGGCUAACUACGUG
rnacentral:rRNA from 1 species